rnacentral:rRNA from 1 species
AGCUCAAAUUUGAAAUCUGGCCCCCGGGUCCGAGUUGUAAUUUGUAGAGGAUGCUUUUGGCGAGGUGCCUUCCGAGUUCCCUGGAACGGGACGCCAUAGAGGGUGAGAGCCCCGUCUGGUCGGACACCGAGCCUCUGUAAAGCUCCUUCGACGAGUCGAGUAGUUUGGGAAUGCUGCUCAAAAUGGGAGGUAUAUGUCUUCUAAAGCUAAAUAUUGGCCAGAGACCGAUAGCGCACAAGUAGAGUGAUCGAAAGAUGAAAAGCACUUUGAAAAGAGGGUUAAAAAGUACGUGAAAUUGUUGAAAGGGAAGCGCCUAUGACCAGACUUGGGCCCGGUGAAUCAUCCAGCGUUCUCGCUGGUGCACUUUGCCGGGCACAGGCCAGCAUCAGUUUGGCGCGGGGGAGAAAGGCUCUGGGAAUGUGGCUCCUCCGGGAGUGUUAUAGCCCACUGCGUAAUACCCUGCGCCGGACUGAGGUACGCGCAUUGCAAGGAUGCUGGCGUAAUGGUCAUC